CCUACGGGGGGCAGCAGUGGGGAAUCUUCCGCAAUGGGCGAAAGCCUGACGGAGCAACGCCGCGUGAGUGAUGACGGCCUUCGGGUUGUAAAACUCUGUGAUCCGGGACGAAAAGGCAGAGUGCGAAGAACAGACUGCAUUGACGGUACCGGAAAAGCAAGCCACGGCUAACUACGUGCCAGCAGCCGCGGUAAUACGUAGGUGGCAAGCGUUGUCCGGAAUUAUUGGGCGUAAAGCGCGCGCAGGCGGCUUCCCAAGUCCCUCUUAAAAGUGCGGGGCUUAACCCCGUGAUGGGAAGGAAACUGGGAAGCUGGAGUAUCGGAGAGGAAAGUGGAAUUCCUAGUGUAGCGGUGAAAUGCGUAGAGAUUAGGAAGAACACCGGUGGCGAAGGCGACUUUCUGGACGAAAACUGACGCUGAGGCGCGAAAGCGUGGGGAGCAAACAGGAUUAGAUACCCGGGUAGUC
rnacentral:rRNA from 1 species